rnacentral:tRNA from 1 species
GGGCGUGGUGCCGGUGCACGGCGCUGGCCUGUCACGUCAGGCGCUGCGGGUUCGACACCCGCCACGUCCA